rnacentral:rRNA from 1 species
GAUGAACGCUGGCGGCGUGCCUAAUACAUGCAAGUCGAGCGAACAGACGAGGAGCUUGCUCCUCUGACGUUAGCGGCGGACGGGUGAGUAACACGUGGAUAACCUACCUAUAAGACUGGGAUAACUUCGGGAAACCGGAGCUAAUACCGGAUAACAUGUUGAACCGCAUGGUUCAACAGUGAAAGACGGUCUUGCUGUCACUUAUAGAUGGAUCCGCGCCGCAUUAGCUAGUUGGUAAGGUAACGGCUUACCAAGGCAACGAUGCGUAGCCGACCUGAGAGGGUGAUCGGCCACACUGGAACUGAGACACGGUCCAGACUCCUACGGGAGGCAGCAGUAGGGAAUCUUCCGCAAUGGGCGAAAGCCUGACGGAGCAACGCCGCGUGAGUGAAGAAGGUCUUCGGAUCGUAAAACUCUGCUAUUAGGGAAGAACAAAUGUGUAAGUAACUAUGCACGUCUUGACGGUACCUAAUCAGAAAGCCACGGCUAACUACGUG